UAUUUUUUCCUUGCAGCAUCAGAACUAACAUACAGAUAGCCAUUUUCAAAGAAGGCAAAUGGACAUACAGCUUCCCAUUUCCCACUGAAAUUCAGAGCCUACUCCUCACCUUGUAGGCAACUCUGAGGACAAUUACUGGAAUGAAUUGAAGACUGACACCUUGAGGACUAACAAUCUGAAGGCUUGGAAGAUCUGGGAUCACUGCUGUUGGCUUGAAGAGCAAAUCCGAAUGCAGCUGUUACUAAGUAGAAGGAUUCUAUCAAAAAAAGAUUGGAGAAUGAUCAUUGAUCCAUCAUGCCUGAUUCUCUGGGGCUAUCUGUAUGCGAUCUUUGUGUUAAAACCUGUAAGUUUUCUUUUCUGAAUCGC
rnacentral:lncRNA from 14 species